rnacentral:rRNA from 1 species
UACAGAGGUCUCAAGCGUUGUUCGGAUUCAUUGGGCGUAAAGGGUGCGUAGGUGGCGAGGUAAGUUGGAUGUGAAAUCCCGGGGCUCAACCCCGGAACUGCAUUCAAUACUGCUUUGCUAGAGUACUGGAGAGGAGAUUGGAAUUUACGGUGUAGCAGUGAAAUGCGUAGAUAUCGUAAGGAAGACCAGUGGCGAAGGCGGAUCUCUGGACAGUUACUGACACUGAGGCACGAAGGCCAGGGGAGCAAACGGG